ACACGGGAAAGGAGGUGGUCCAGACUUGUAUAGCAAUCGGACUCGUGAGGUGGCUGUCCGCUAGCCGCUGUCCUCGACAGUGAAGAACGAUCGUCGAGACCGUGUGGCAGCGGUGCGGCGAAACCACGACAGCCACCCGACCCCCGGGGUGCCGGCCCAGUCCAGCCGGCCCGCGCGCGAGCGCGGAAGCCCCGGGGGUCGCUUCAU
rnacentral:sRNA from 1 species